rnacentral:rRNA from 1 species
GAUGAACGCUGGCGGCGUGCCUAAUACAUGCAAGUCGAGCGAACAGACGUGGAGCUUUCUCCUCUGACGUUAGCGUCGGACGUGUGAGUAACACGUGGAUAACCUACCUGUAAGACUGGGCUAACUUCGGGAAACCGGAGCUAAUACCGGAUAAUAUAUUGAACCGCAUGGUUCAAUAGUGAAAGACGGUUUUGCUGUCACUUAUAGAUGUAUCCGCGCCGCAUUAGCUAGUUGGUAAGGUAACGGCUUACCAAGGCGACGAUGCGUAGCCGACCUGAGAGGGUGGUCGGCCACACGGGAACUGAGACACGGUCCAGACUCCUACGGGAGGCAGCAGUAGGGAAUCUUACGCAAGGGGCGAAAGCGUGACGGAGCAACGCCGCGUGAGUGAUGAAGGUCUUCGGAUCGUAAAACUCUGUUAUUAGGGAAGAACAAAUGUGUAAGUAACUAUGCACAUCUUGACGGUACCUAAUCAGAAAGCCACGGCUAACUACGUG